rfam:Streptomyces autolyticus strain CGMCC0516, complete genome.
CUUGAUCGACCCCAGCAACAACGGCCGGUCCACAUCCCGACCCUGACCAUACGUGGCCAACAACGCCUGCGCCUC